AGCGAACGUUUGCGGCGGGCUUAACACAUGCAAGUCGAACGAGAAUCCCUUCGGGGAGGAAAGUGGCGCACGGGUGCGUAACACGUGGAUAACCAACCCAUUGGUUUGGGACAACACCGGGAAACUGGUGCUAAUACCAGAUGUGUCGCAGCUGUCUUCAGGCGGUUGCGAGAAAGGCCCGCAAGGGUCGCCAACGGACGGGUCCGCGUCCCAUCAGCUAGUUGGUGAGGUAAUGGCUCACCAAGGCAAAGACGGGUAGCUGGUCUGAGAGGAUGAUCAGCCACACUGGAACUGAGACACGGUCCAGACUCCUACGGGAGGCAGCAGUGGGGAAUAUUGCGCAAUGGGCGAAAGCCUGACGCAGCCACGCCGCGUGAGCGAUGAAGGUCUUCGGAUCGUAAAGCUACUGUGGGGGGGAGAAGGAAGAAAGCCGGUGAAGAGCCGGCCCUGACGGUAUCCCCUUAGCCAAGCACCGGCUAACUCCGUGCCAGCAGCCGCGGUAAAGUAC
rnacentral:rRNA from 1 species